rnacentral:rRNA from 1 species
GGAGGAUCCAAGCGUUAUCCGGAUUUAUUGGGUUUAAAGGGUGCGUAGGUGGCCUGGUAAGUCAGGGGUGAAAGACGGUAGCUUAACUAUCGCAGUGCCUUUGAUACUGCCGGGCUUGAAUGAACUAGAGGUAGGCGGAAUGUGACAAGUAGCGGUGAAAUGCAUAGAUAUGUCACAGAACACCGAUUGCGAAGGCAGCUUACUAUGGUUUUAUUGACACUGAGGCACGAAAGCGUGGGGAUCAAACAGGAUUAGAUACCCUGGUAGUCCACGCCCUAAACGAUGAAUACUCGAUGUUGGCGAUAUACGGUCAGCGUCUAAGCGAAAGCGUUAAGUAUUCCACCUGGGGAGUACGCCCGCAAGGGUG